UCCCCCUAAUUGCAAAGAUAGGAAUGACGAAGCGAAGUUAUUAAGCCAUUCAUCAAAACAGCCUGCCUUACCUUGGCGCCUUUGCUUCCAUCUGUUCCGGGCAAUCCAUCCAUUCCAUGAAGCCCCUCCAGACCCUCCCUUCCUGUAACGCCUCGUGGGCCAGGGGAGCCCUCUGGACCCUUGUCAAAAACAAUAAAUACAAUACAUCUUUAUUUUAUAAUACUUGAGGAAGUUACAGGGAAGUACGUAGAUACUGUACACAUUUUGAGCGCAAGUACUUUUGUGCCACGAGUGUUUCAGUUUCGCAGAGAUGACUACCGGUAGUCGUGCGGAUGGAUCGCCAAAAUGCUAGCUUCUGAUAGGCCAUGCUGUGCUUUUACAGCUUUUAUUUUGGUAGGUUUCUACUUCUUCCCCCUUCCCCCACAUUCUUUUUAUUUUGCUUGGACUAUGAUUUGGAUAAUCUGUGACCGGUUUAUGCAUUUGAGUACUGUACCGUCAAUGCGGUUUGACAAGAAAGAGAACCGAAUGCUACGUUAGCUUAUCACGCUAGCCACUGACUGGUUAGCGGCCAUGUUACUCACAGCACUCGUAUAUCACUAAAUAAAAACUUGGCUGUGAAUAGCCAUUCCCAAAUGUUUUUUUGACCUGGUUUCUAGAAUGAAACCACUGUUCAGAUGUUAACUGUCAGGAAAGCAAAAAUAUUGGCAUCAAAUUUACCGUUAUACUUGCUAUAACAGUGAUUUAAGAUAGAUCGACAGAUUAUUCUGUGGGUCUUGAUAAAUCAGUCAAAAGGUUCUAAAAUGGCUGGCAGUCAACAGUUGCGAGGAACUAAAAUGGCUGGCAUAGAUUGAGUGAUGUGCCUUAAGCCUACAACCAUUUAAAAAUGUUUUCCCACGUCAUGUCUGGGCCUCUGGAUAUUCCAUUUUAUAACCCCGUAAUAUUUAUUGCCCUUCCUCGAUUGUGAAGUUUGUGUUUGAAGAUUUCCAACAACUUCAAUCAUUGUCUUUACGGGUUACUAAAGGUCUUAUAUUCUUGCCAGUUAUCUCACCGGUGGUCCUUUGCUCCCAGAUGUUCCUCUCGGCCCAGAUUUUCCUUUCUGACCCUGGAUCAUAGAGAGUUAACGUUGUGUAACUCCAAUGCGAGUGCACGGUAGACUUUGAGAGUCGAGCGACACACAGCGCCUGCAGUCAUCUACAUUACACUGAGUUAAGUCCUUACUUGUUCACCUUUGGAUCCUUUCGGUCCUUGUUGCCCUCUGGGCCCCGGAUGUCCCUGAAAUGACCAUUAUGGUUUCAAAAAAAGGAACAUUGAAGCUUUGGUGUGGCUUUAAAUCACACCGAUGGCAUACUUACAGGAAGUCCUUGGGCACCGGCUUUACCUCUCUCUCCAUCAAGACCUACUGGACCCUGCAAAAUGUCAUACAUGACACUAUGCAGAGCUUAAAAUCGUUGGGCUUCAUAAGUGGUGGGGGGAAUGUAGUCAUCUUAAAUUCACUUACAUUGUGUCCGGGGUCACCUGAUUCUCCUCUAUCACCUCUGUUACCAGGAGGGCCCUGUCAUGGGGCACACAGAUACAAAAACAACCUCAAAUGUGGUUCAGUCAGAUCCCCUUCAGAGAACAUAAAAUAGAUGGCGACGUCCCUUACGCCUCCAAACAAACCAUCACAUAAUCACAGCGGGUCCGACACUAAAAUAUUCAUCGCUGCACACGGUCUUAAAAUCGCAGCCCCUCAUACAAGCCGUCUCUAACGCCGGGAUGGUGUGAAGCCAUCUGCUUGGCUCGCCUCUCUCACCAUAGGAACGUGUUCCCUUUCACACGCAGCCGUCGUGAGAUCAGCAGGAUCAGAACGAGCUGCUGCGCCUUCCCUUUAGCUCCUCUUUGAAAACGUCAAUCACACCGAUGCACAAUUUGGAGUCUUCUCUGAGUCUAACAUGCAUGUUAUGGGAAUGCGGGAUGAUGCCUUGAUACACAGAGGAAAGACUCCACGCCAAAGCUCAGAUUUGAACCCCCGACCUCCGACGGCGUUAAUACGGUUCACAUCUCAUGGCUAAAUCGCCGAGCAGCGGUAACCAAAGAAGAAAAACUCACUCUAUCACCUUGGCGACCUGGGGGUCCUUCUAUCUUGCUGUCCUCCCCUUGCGCACCCUAAAAAGUAACAGGGAAAUCAUCAAAAACAAAAAAAAAGGAAUUGAGAAUUCACCCCUUAGGUUAGCAUGGCAAAUGGCGUAAUCGUCGUGUCCACGUCACAGGACAGGUGCUUUCCAAAUGUUCGAAUGCACAAGGAUGAGUCAGUGUCUCGCUCUCUCUGGAACUCGUUGACACUAAUUGAACAAUAACAGACGCGGGAGGGAUUUUAUCCGUCGUGUUCUACAUUUAUCAAACAAAAGGAUUAAAAAAAUAACAAUGACAAAAUUGAGAAAAUAAUUAGGAAUGAUGAAAGACAGUGGCGAAAUGAGAAAUAAAAAGAGUGACCGGGACAAUCGUGUAAGUAUGUUUUGUAUCACAUCGGCUGCGCGUUUUGGUUGAGGGAGUCAAUCAAGUUCACAUGUGACCGCAUGAUUUUGAUUAAUCAACAAGCAUUGCUUUUAUUUCCUGACAACAAUACAACUGCACACAUCCAGAUGGCUCAAAGUGUUUUAAUCUGGUUUGUGUUGUGCCGCAUCCUGUCCGGUGUACAGAAAUGUUUGUAUUGCUUCAAUCGUGACUAAAAGUGUCCAUUUACUCGGCGGAUUGCACACUUGAACGCUAACAAGUGAAUUAGAUGCGCCCCACUUCCGACCAAUCGUCUCGAAGGGCUACCUUAAACGACAACCGUUGGGCGCUGUAAUGUGUAACGAGUGCGGAACGAAUCGUGUCCCAAUGUACCUUUUCACCUUUUGGUCCUGGUGGUCCUUGUGAGCCGUGUAGUCCUUUGUGACCCUACAACAAGAGGAGCACGCCGUUACUCGGACAAAAUAACACUUUACCACUCAUUAGUCAUCUGUUGUCAUGAUUUAAACAAGUUUAUAAAAAAUUAAAAAAAAAACCUUAGGGCAUAGGCCGGCCUCUUGAAAAGACCACUGAAAUGUCCAGUCUCACUGUAUUGGGAGUGUGGGGUCAGUCAAUUUCUGAUGUGAUCGACAUUUUGGUCACCAUGGCAAAGGAGAGAAGUGCUCACUGCCAAUGGAACAAAUUUCAACCAAAUUCAACGUAAGAAUGGAACAAAGUUCAAUCUGAUCAGAAAAGAUCUGAAUACCCAGUGACGUGUGAAAAGGAAAAAAAAAAACGUUUUUUGGUGGUAUGUUGAAAACUAUUUUACGGUCAAAUGGAUCAGGUAAUUCUAUAAGGUCACAGAUGGAAGGCCCGGAAUGAUUCAUCCCCCUAGAGUGUUGUGACUGUGACAUCCACAAAGCAGAACAAUGUAUCCUCAGUGGCUACCUGCAGUAAUAGAAAUCUAACAAAAUCCCACUCUGGGUGAUUGUUUUAUCACCUUACUGAAGAGGAUUUCCUUUUUAAUUUUUAUUUUUAAAAAAAUGCUAUUAUUCCACACCUCAUAGCCUGGAAUUCCCGGUUCUCCCAGCUGGCCCAUUCUUCCAGGAGCACCCUGGGGAAAUAAAUCCACAUUUAGUCCACGUUAAACCAAAAUCCAAUUAAGUCUGUCAGUUCAAAAGCGAGCGGAUGUUUUACCACUGGACCCAUUGUUCCUCUUGCUCCCUUCAGUCCGACAAAUCCUGGCGCUCCCUGCUCGCCCAUUGGCCCGCUUUCACCCAGGUGACCUUGGUGUCCUUUGGUGCCCUGGCGAGAGGCAGUCAAUAAGCAGAAUUGAAGAACGAAGCGAUUACAAGGAGCUGAUGUUAUUUUCCUCCCAAGAGUGAACAGCUAAUGCUUGCUAAUCCCUGGCUCACCAGACAGUCCUCCAUCUCCAGCCUUCCCCGACUCACCGAGGGUCCCAUCUCCCCCGUCGCCCCGCCCGUUCCUGGAGGCCCGGCUGCUCCCUACACACACACACAAAGGUAGGCCAUGAAUGUGAAGUUUUGACAGCCUAAAAAAAAAAUGACAGCGAAGGAGGGAAAUAAAUGUGUGAAAAUAAAUGAGAUGGCGUGUGUGGGCCGGAGGAGCCAAAUUAAAUCUGCAAUGGAAAGUGCUUUGAAAAUCACGCACCAGAGUCUUUGUAAGUGAUGGAGACGAGCCUGUUGCCGUGGCAACACUGUCAGGACGACAGUAAAACUGUCUCGGCAGGUAUAGGAUGUCGUGACUCAUUGUCUCACGACUUGUCUAAAUGGCGUCUGUGAGACUCAGGUGCAAGAACAAAAAAAUUGUGCUCGGCGUUUUCCUGUCGCAAUUCUUUACAGUUUGUUUCCACAGCAGGGGGGGGGGGGGGUGAUUUCACAGCUACGUGUUUGUUUAUAUAUCAUACACUCCAGGAUAGCAGCAAUAUAACCGGGCAAACUGUCAAAAGUUAAGUGAGUGUUAACAUACAGUUAGUGGGAAUUUCAACACUUGUGUGAGAGUUACAAAGUGACUCAUUCGCCUUUAAAUAAUAUAUGUGCGGUUCACAACGGUUUUAUGACAGCGAAAUAAAGACAGUGACCAAAUACCAUAAAUCAUAUUACGAAGACACAUGAUUCUUGGAACAAAGAAAUCUAAAGAAAAAAAAAAGGCUGACUGAUGACAGUUGAUGAAAAUAUGACUCACGGCAUCCCCAGCAAGUCCUUUGUCCCCUGGAGGGCCAGAGUGCCCUUGUAUCCCCUAAAAUAAGGCACCAUACUAUUAACUAAUUAAAA